ensembl:lncRNA
CUUUUUGUAGGGCCACAGAUGUGGCACAUGGAACAGUCCAAGAAAUGACAAAAAGACAAAAAGACAAUAAAAAAAAAAAAAAAAAGAAAAAGAAACGUCUGUUCCUUAAGCUUCCCGGCUCUGACAGUUUGUUAGGAGAGCCCUGCAGAAGGACCCAGACACCAAGCCCUUCCAAUCCCCUACAGCAUCCCCAGCCAAUCAGAUCUUACCCUGCAGGACCAAGGAUGCUUCUAUCUGCAACUGUCCAUCAACAGCACUUGCAUGGCUGACUUUUGGGUCAACCACAUCAGGGAGGGUCAAUCCCACUUCAGAGACCCUGCUGGCAGAGGACCACCCCCACAGAGUACCCUCACGAGCUGAGCGUCCACACCGCUGACCCUCAGAACACUGGGUGUCCAUACCACUGACCCUCAGAACACUGGGUGUACACACUGCCAACCCUCACUAGCUAAGUGUCCACACCACCAACGCUCAGAACACUGGGCGUCCACACCACUGGCUCAGAACACUGGGCGUCCACACCAGCGACCCUCAGAACACGGGGAAGAUCUGAAGUCUCCAGAGGGAGCCGGAUGAAUGCACAUCCACUCAACAGGCCUCGGGGUAAUGGGAGGCCAGGGGAGGCAGGGCAGCAGCUAUGACUGGGCACCAGGCCGCAGGGACCCCAUCCUGACACUGCCUCCCUCCAAGUAAAGCAGGAGCAACCUGAGGCUCAGCACCUGAAUGGCCUCCCCACAGGCGCACAGCUACAAAGAGCAGGGCCAGACGUUGUCCAAAGACUCUCUUUAGAUGCUAGACCCCCGCAACCAACAGUUACAGGACAGAGGAGAAGCAGAGAACGGGGCGAAGAGCCUGGGAAGGGCACAGCGUUUGUCUCAUCGCCAGCUUGGGGAGCAGAGCAGUCAGGAAAGGCAUAUCCCCCACAAGCCCCAAUGGGGCGUUUAUUACUACCAGGCAUGCGUGCAGCUGGGGUGCCCGUGCCCAGGGGACGGGAAGAUGGCAGGAUGCCGCGUAAAGGCAGGGUUGGAAGGAAGCCCCGGCCAGGGUGCGCCCGCGGGAACCACCCGUCUGCAAGAGCAGCAGCAGCGAAGUCCUGGGGCAGGAGGCAGAGGGGGAGCUGGAGUUCUGCCACCUGCCACAAUCCGAAGCCCACACGUAGCCCAGCCCAGCCGCUUCUCCCUGCACCUAGCAGGCCCUCAAGUCGCGUGGCACUCAGCUACCCCUACUCUGAAAAGUAUCUCACUUCCACUCAGAUGUAAAAGGCAGCCCUGUCCUCUGGCAUUUUCCCAGCUCCCUGAACACUGAACUUGCGAGGAGCAACGCAGAAUGUGUGCAGCUGCUUAUUACUGAACCUGACACGUGCACAUCUUAGAGAUUGGCAUCCGUUGCAAAAGUCACCCAUGAACCAUCACUUUCUCCUUUAAAUACUGCAGAAUGUCCAACUGCACCCAGACUCUUUCACGCAGAGUGACAAGGACGUGGUGGACUUGGGCAGACGCAAGAAGUCAUGCUCCAGAUGCACAAUGAGCAUCUCGCGGCUGGCGGGACAGCCCAGGCACCUGCCCUGUAACGCACUGGCCCACGCCUGCCAGCUCGGUCUCGAUGCCCCGCUUACGUGGACAGCUCCUCCACUGGCCUUUGAGGACCUGGCCCUCCUCGCUGCUGCUGUCUGGACGACCCUGUCACUGAAGGGGGCCAAGAGGUGGCUGAUUUCCUGUGGCCACAGGAAGCUCAAGAGGUGCCUGAAGACGCAGGGACCACUGCCCGGACUGCUCAGCGACCCUGGUUUAGCCAUCGCCAGGCCUGGCGCUCACACUGGCCUCCCAUCUCAGAGCCGCCCCUACAUUAUUCUGGUAACUUCCACACCUGCUGGAACUAGAACGGGAUUCUGCUAUUUCCCACCAAGGAUCCAAACAGACCAAUUUAAUUUACCAGCCUCCUCGCUUAAAGGGCGAGCAAAUUCUGAUUGUUCAAAAAGGCAACGACCACCUGCUGAGGGCAAGGGCUGCCUGAAUCUAGGACCCUUUAUUUUAGUGCCCUAAAGUCUGAAGGCCAUUCCCACAACAGCAGCCACGGCGACCUCAAAGUCCUGGGUCCCGGCCUCGCGACUAAUUACUGCGGCCCCGGGCCUCUCCCCGCCGCUGCUUCAGUCUGUGCUCCCUGUCGCUACCCAGCCCCCCUCCAAGGAGCACGUCCUUCCCCAUUGCGGCGCUCUGGCCGCACGAGGGGUCGUGCAUGAGAUCCUGGGCCUGGUCCCUCAGCCCCUGAGCACCCAGGCCACACGCCUGACAUCGCAAUCGGGAGACAUCCGAGCGGCCUCUGGGGAGCAAGCAGUAAGGACGUUACGAAAAGAGAGGGUUGCCUGCCUGGAGGCAGGACCCGGACCACCAAGAGCCCGAGGUGGACUGGAGAUGACAAGGUGGCCCCGGGAAGGGUCUGCAGAGGAGGUGCCCGCAGGGAGGGACAAGGCCAGACAGGCCCGUGGCCAAGGGCCCCGGAUGCUGAGAGAGGCAAUUCCAUGUUCGUCCCUUUAGCUGCCCCGUGACUUGUUCUAAAAAGGCCAAGGGGUGAGGCCAGGAAUUUCAACUUCAUUCUGAAAGCCCCAUGAGCCAUUAAAGGCUCUUAAGCAGGGCAGAUUGUUCUGGAAUCUAUUUAUGGGUUAGCUAAGCCGUCAAACGCGGCCUACCACCAACCGUAUCAACGUCCUCGGAUACCUGAGCGCAGACAGAGACAUAUGCCCACACGGAGGGAGCUCACGGAGUGCGCCGUGCUUGAUCACGUGAAUAUAAACACGUGUUUAGCACACGCACAUCGAAGCUGCAGGGGCAGCACAGAGCCUGUGAAGCUGAUCAUAAGGCAUCUCAGAAUCCUAGGGGCUGGCACGCUGUGAAAACGUGAAAAGCUAUAGAAUCAUUAUUUAUACG